rnacentral:rRNA from 1 species
UACGUAGGCAGCAAGCGUUGUUCGGAUUUACUGGGCGUAAAGGGUGUGUAGGCGGUUGGUUAAGUGUGGUGUGAAAUCUCCCGGCUUAACUGGGAGGGUGCGCUACAAACUGUCUGACUAGAGUGUGGGAUGGGAAAGUGGAAUUCCUGGUGUAGCGGUGAAAUGCGUAGAUAUCAGGAGGAACACCGGUGGUGUAGACGGCUUUCUGGACCAUAACUGACGCUGAAACACGAAAGCGUGGGUAGCAAACAGG